AUUGAACGCUGGCGGCAUGCCUUACACAUGCAAGUCGAACGGUAGCGGGCCUUCGGGUGCCGACGAGUGGCGAACGGGUGAGUAAUGUAUCGGAACGUACCUUUCAGUGGGGGAUAACGUAGCGAAAGUUACGCUAAUACCGCAUAUUCUGUGCGCAGGAAAGCAGGGGAUCGCAAGACCUUGCGCUGAUUGAGCGGCCGAUAUCAGGUUAGCUAGUUGGUGAGGUAAAGGAUCACCAAGGCGACGAUCUGUAGCGGGUCUGAGAGGAUGAUCCGCGACACUGGAACUGAGACACGGUCCAGACUCCUACGGGAGGCAGCAGUGGGGAAUUUUGGACAAUGGGGGCAACCCUGAUCCAGCCAUGCCGCGUGAGUGAAGAAGGCCUUCGGGUUGUAAAGCUCUUUCGGCCGGGAAGAAAUCGUAUCAGCUAAUACCUGGUGCGGAUGACAGUACCGGCAUAAGAAGCACCGGCUAACUACGUGCCAGCAGCCGCAGUAAGAC
rnacentral:rRNA from 1 species